rnacentral:lncRNA from 1 species
CUUCUGCUGGGCGUCAUCCUUCCCCGUGGGAGCUGGGAUGGUUUCUGAGUAACAAAACGCAGCCUGGGAGUUUUUGUUGGUGUACCUCUGGUCCUCCGGAAUAUAGGUUGCUCUUUGCAAGAAGGAAACGUGGGACAUGAUGUGCAUCCCUGUGCAGGACUGGCAGGUGGGAAAGCAGAGCCCACGUGUUGGCACAACACCUACUGGUCUUAGAGAUUGCUCUCACUGAAGGGUUGAGGUGAGCACAGAACACAUGGACAGGAGGAGGUGACUCCUUGCAGGAGGAGGCAGAGAGCUGUGGGGAGGACAGGCUGGUCGGUCAUCACCUCUCCUACCCUAUUAAGACCCUUUCUCCUCCUCAGGAGGCACCGAUAGCUGAAAAGUCUCUGCUUGCAGGAAUUUAUGCAGGGUGGGAAGCCGUGGCACGGUCCUGGAGGCAUCAAGCUAAUGAGGAGAUGGCCAACACUUACGAACUCUUUAUAUGUCUCGGCAGCCAGGAGGUGGAGGUGCUGAGCCCUCAGCACAGCGUUGGCAAACAGGUUGGAGAGGGGCAUGGCAGGGAAGGUGGCAGCAGCUUCCUGCGGCAGUCCCAGCGUGACCACAGCGAUGAGGAGAGGAGAAAACCACGAGCCUACAGCAGAGCGGAGAGGAGAGGGGUUACCCGUCCUUUGGUGGCACCUGGGGCUCAGGGUUGUGUCCACCUGUUUCACCUUCCUGAGCAGAGCACGGUACGCUCUUUGGCGCGUGAGCCAACAGGGUGGAGAGCAGUGGGUGAGGACUGGGAACAGCUCAGCUGAGCCUAUUUGCACCGUGCUGCUGGCAUGGCACUGUCUGCCUUCACUGGGGUGAGAAGUGGCUGCAUUACCUGCGCUGUGGCUCUCUGGGACACACCUGUAGGAUCUGGAGGUCACUGUCAAGCCUGAAGGUUAUUAACCCUCGACAUCCAGCUCACAUGAGUGUCCGCUUACAAAAGUUAAUCUCAGUAGGGUUUAACUUCAGUGGAGGAAUGCCCUGGAGCCUGCAGGACUUGGACAAGUGCAAGGGGUUGAAAUUAGGUGAUCUUUGAAGUGCUUUUCAACCCAGGCCAUUCUAUGAGUCUGAUUAGACAUCAUCCUGAUCUCCGUUUUAAAGCCUUGGAACUGAGUUUUAAUAUCCCUG